CCUACGGGAGGCAGCAGUGAGGAAUAUUGGUCAAUGGGCGAGAGCCUGAACCAGCCAAGUCGCGUGAGGGAGUACUGCCCUAUGGGUUGUAAACCUCUUUUGUCGGGGAGCAAAAGCCGGACGUGUCCGGCUGUGAGAGUACCCGAAGAAAAAGCAUCGGCUAACUCCGUGCCAGCAGCCGCGGUAAUACGGAGGAUGCGAGCGUUAUCCGGAUUUAUUGGGGUUAAAGGGUGCGCAGGCGGAUGUUUAAGUCAGCGGUCAAAUCGUGGGGCUCAACCCCAUCCAGCCGUUGAAACUGGGGAUCUAGAGUGUGCGAGAGGUAUGCGGAAUGCGUGGUGUAGCGGUGAAAUGCAUAGAUAUCACGCAGAACCCCGAUUGCGAAGGCAGCAUACCGGUGCACAACUGACGCUCAGGCACGAAAGCGUGGGUAUCGAACAGGAUUAGAUACCCCAGUAGUC
rnacentral:rRNA from 1 species